UUAUCGUUAGUUGCCAGCGGGGUAAGUGCCGGGAACUCUAGCGAAACUGCCGGUGUAAACCGUGAGGAAGGUGGGGAGUGACGUCAAAUCAGCACGGCCCUUAUGUCCAGGGCUACACACGUGUUACAAUGGCCGGUACAGAGGGCAGCUACCUGGAGACAGGAUGCGAAUCUCCAAAGCCGGUCUCAGUUCGGAUCGGAGUCUGCAACUCGACUCCGUGAAGCUGGAUUCGCUAGUAAUCGCGCAUCAGCCAUGGCGCGGUGAAUACGUUCCCGGGCCUU
rnacentral:rRNA from 1 species